rnacentral:misc_RNA from 1 species
GAUGAAGAACGUAGCGAAAUGCGAUAAGUAGUGUGAAUUGCAGAAUUCAGUGAAUCAUCGAAUCUUUGAACGCACCUUGCGCCCCUUGGUUAUUCCAAAGGGCAUGCCUGUUUGAGUAUCAUGAACACCUCAACUCUUGUGGUUUCCCACAAUGAGCUUGGCCUGUGGAGGUUUUGUUGGCCCUGUGGUCAGCUCCUCUCAAAUGGAUCAGCUUACCGGUGUUUGGUGGCAUUACGGGUGUGAUAACUAUCUACGCUCGUGGUCGUCUCCAAAUAACCUCCAGUGAUGGAGGUUCGCUGGAGCUUAUAAAUGUCUCUCCCCAGUGAAGACAGCCUUUGAACGUUCGAUCUCAAAUCAGGUAGGACUACCCGCUGAACUUAAGCAUAUCAAUAAGCGGAGGA